UACGAAGGGGGCUAGCGUUGUUCGGAAUCACUGGGCGUAAAGCGCACGCAGGCGGAUAAAUAAGUCAGGGGUGAAAUCCCGGGGCUCAACCUCGGAAUUGCCUUUGAUACUGUUUAUCUCGAGUUCGGGAGAGGUUGGCGGAAUUCCUAGUGUAGAGGUGAAAUUCGUAGAUAUGGGGAGGAACACCGGUGGCGAAGGCGGCCAUCUGGACGGAUACUGACGCUGAGACGCGAAAGCGUGGGGAGCAAACAGG
rnacentral:rRNA from 1 species